rnacentral:lncRNA from 10 species
AAAAAAUCCUAACGGAAGAAGAUUUUGAGCCGCUUGCUCGAGCUUACUCUUGUUUUGUGCGUUGUCUUCAAUACAUCUGUGCUUUCAUUACUUCUUUCUUCUGUUGCUUUGUUUUUCGUUGCUUCAUUUUUUUUGUUACCUUGUUUGCUCAUUUUGUUCAAUUCUUUGCUCAACACCCAAGAACCUGCACAACUCUGGUAACAUUUUGGAGAGCCAGCCAAGAGAGAUGAAGGCAAAUUAUGGUAAUCCAGCUGAAAUCCAUGGGUAGUUUCUCACCAUAACCUUGUAACUGACCUCUGUCCUGUGAAUUCAGGAGUGGAGCUGAG